CAGCAGUAGCCGCGGGAAUACAGAGGGUGCGAGCGUUAAUCGGAUUUACUGGGCGUAAAGCGUGCGUAGGCGGCUUUUUAAGUCGGAUGUGAAAUCCCUGAGCUUAACUUAGGAAUUGCAUUCGAUACUGGGAAGCUAGAGUAUGGGAGAGGAUGGUAGAAUUCCAGGUGUAGCGGUGAAAUGCGUAGAGAUCUGGAGGAAUACCGAUGGCGAAGGCAGCCAUCUGGCCUAAUACUGACGCUGAGGUACGAAAGCAUGGGGAGCAAACAGGAUUAGAUACCCCUGUAGUCCCUGUCUCUUAUAC
rnacentral:rRNA from 1 species